GGGGCUGUCUUGGUUUCGACAUUUGAAUUUUUUUUUAAAUAUGAUGCAAGUCGAAGUUUGUAUUCUUCGUAAAAACAUACUAACAUUUAAUAAUAAAUGCUAACAAUAUAAUUUCAUUUAGUCCAAAAUUAGCAAUGGCAUAAAAAAGUUAUUUUUAACCAUUUCUUCUAAUUUUAAUCACUUCGCUCUAAAAAUUAAUUGAUUUUUAGGGUCUAGAAUAAUAUUUUAAUUUAUAACUGUUCUUUUAAAUUUAGAACUAAACUUGUGAAUGAAUGUUUAAAAAGAAAUUAAAUGGACGUGGGUUCAAUUCCCAUCAGCUCCACUU
rnacentral:tmRNA from 1 species